rnacentral:lncRNA from 1 species
AACCCGAAGGUUUUUAAUCUUGCUCAACAAUAAUAUGUAAUUCAACAUAUAUGUGUACGGGUAAUUGAAAAAGUGUAUCAACAUGUGAAUAAAUACCAUGAUUAUCCAAGUGGGGACACUUGUAUAACCAUUUAGAAAUCAAUGAACAGAAUAUAUAUCUGAGCUAACAUGUUGAUAAUCAAAGCGUACAUAAUCUGUACAGGAAUAGAAAAGAAUUCUGAAACUCUCUUACUCAUGUCCAUUGCAUAAAGGAAAUGCAAAGGUAGGAUACUUGCCUGAUUCGCUGAUGACAAAUCUCAACUCAGGUUUUAUCUCUUUAUCACAACCUAUCAAUAAUCAGAGCAUUCGUUCGAUUAGAACAAUAUAUCUUAACACAAAGUACUGUCUAUUACAGUCAGCACAUAAUCACAGUGAUCAUACUUUUAGUUCCUAUUCUAUACUUGAAAUAUUUUUAUACAUUUUUCAAAUAUCUCAUCCAUGCUCUUACAGUAGCCUUUUCUUUCUAUUAUAGGGUCUUACAUUUGUCGGCGUACCGACAACUUUAUCGGGUAAAUACUGAGUCUAAGACUCUUAUUCUAUACCUCAACAUCUGCAAAUAUCAGACAUCUUAUUUUUAACCAUUUUCGAAAUUUCCAGAAAUUGAAAAUUUUUAAAUAAUUCAAAUCUGUCACUAAAGGGCCUAUAGUAAUAUAACUGUUACUAUAGGUGUUCUUCUUCAAAUUCAGAACUUCAUAAUCGGUUCUCAAGUCAGCUAGUUUGGCCGGCUAUAACUUUCAAACAUCGGAAUCAUAAUUAAAUGAUUUAAACAUUAAACAAUUCCAUUAUCAUUAAUAAUUAAUUUAUAUUAAACUAUUAAUGAAACCAUUGCCAAAAUAUAAAAGUUAUUUAUAAUAACUCAAACUAUUUUUAAAACAUUUAUAUUACCCUUAAAUGAUUUUUAAAACAAUUAAAAUCAUUUUUAAAUAAUCACCAUUAAUAUAUAAAUAUUAAUGUACUAUUCAUCCAAAUAUUAAAAGUCAUUAAUUAUAACUUAAAAUAUUUUUAAAUCCUUAAUAUCCUCUUUAAAUGAUUUUUAAAUAAAUAAAACCAUUUUUAAACUAUUUAUUUAAUAAUAAUUAUUAAAUAAACUAAAUAUCAUUAAUAUUAUCUUAAUAUCAUUAAUAUUAAAUUAUUAAUGAAAUUAUCCUUUAAAUAUUAAAAGUUAUAUUUUAUAACUUAAAAUAUUUUUAAAUACCUUAAUUUCAUUUAAAAUGAUUUUUAUAAUAUUAAAAUCAUUUUUAAACUAAAUUAUUUAAUAUAAUCAUUAAAUAACUUUAAUAUCAUUAAUAUAUAAUUAAUUAAUGAAAUUCAUCACAAAAUAUUAAAAGUCAUGGGAAAUAACUUAAAAUAUUUUCUUAUACCAUAAAAUAAUUUUUCAUGAUUUUUCAUGAAUUAAAACUAUUUUUAAAUCAUUUAUUUAAUAUUAUAAUUAAAUAAAUAAAUACCUUUUAUAUUCCAAAAAUAUUAAAUAUUUAUGAAAUAUACUCAAAAUAAUUAAAAACUAUUUUUCGGACUUUAAAAUAAUUUUUCAGAAUUUAUUUGGUAUUUUUAAUAAUUAAAAUCUAAAUUUUCUAAUUUUUAAAUUAAUUUCCAGAAAAUAAUAAUAAUAACCAUCGUUAAAGGCCCCUAUAGCGACAGAACCGUCUCUAUAGGUGUUCUUGAGCCUGCCCAGAAAUCCUAAGGCAGAACCGAGUAGCCUACUUUGACCGUGUGUAGUUUUAUGUGUGUUGCAAUUCUGGCAAUGUUCUUGGUCAGAUCGUGUAGAGGAAAUACAAGACUACAAGAUCCAACAAACAUCAUGGCUAUCCAACAUCAGAUCUGGGAGAAAAUGGUCAUCAAAGUAGCUGUCAGAGCUGUUCUUCGUGAAGAACAGUUCGAGAUGGCUACUUUGAACCUCUAUAUCUUGAUGAUCGUGUAACGUUUAUGUGAUCUAUCAAUUCUAGUGUGUAGACAACAUGUAAGACUACAACUUUAACACUUAACAUCAUCAUAACAACAACAGAUCUAACGGGAAAUGGCUGGUCAAAGUGCAACACGGAAACUGUUCAUGAAAAAUCUGGUUUCGCUAGUUUGGCAAAUUUGGUCAACGGGUUUGACCGCUUAUAUCUCUCAAUCUAAAACUGAUCUUGACUUGAUUCUUUUUGCAUCUUAAAGACCACAUAUCAGGCUACAUGUUACAAGUUUUAAACAUCAAAAACACUAAACAAACACUAAUCUAUGGGGUCUGACAUUUGCUUGUCAGACCAUAUUUUUGGUUUUUGCAAAGUUUGAAAAAAUUUGAUUUUGAGCACUUUGAUGUUAUGGGUCAUGAAUUUAACAACUCAGAACAUUAAUAGACUCCUUAUUACACAACUUUAAACAAUAUAUUGCAUCAAUUAACAUCGAAUCGAAGGAUUUCUAGAAUUUAAGGUUUCCUACCUUUUUGAGCUUCGAUUCUUGAAUUUCUGACUUUGAUUCGUUGUUGUGAUGGUUGGGCUUUGAUUAUAGACUGAUCUAGCAAGCUAAUUUCGUAGCUUUUAGAGAGAGAGAGUCUAAGAUGAGUGUUGGGAGAAAAAUGAGAUUAAAG